rnacentral:tRNA from 1 species
GGUGGCUUAGCGGUAGAGCAUUUGCCUUGCAUGCAUGAGGCCCUGGGUUCGAUUCCUCAGCACCA